rnacentral:rRNA from 1 species
UGGCGGCAGGCCUAACACAUGCAAGUCGAGCGGUAACAUUUCUAGCUUGCUAGAAGAUGACGAGCGGCGGACGGGUGAGUAACGCGUAGAAAAUCUACCUAGUAGUGGGGGAUAGCCCAGAGAAAUUUGGAUUAAUACCGCAUACGCCCUACGGGGGAAAGCGGGGGAUCUUCGGACCUCGUGCUAUUAGAUGAGUCUGCGUCGGAUUAGCUUGUUGGUGAGGUAAUGGCUCACCAAGGCGACGAUCCGUAGCUGGUCUGAGAGGAUGACCAGCCACACUGGAACUGAGACACGGUCCAGACUCCUACGGGAGGCAGCAGUGGGGAAUAUUGCACAAUGGGCGCAGGCCUGAUGCAGCCAUGCCGCGUGUGUGAAGAAGGCCUUAGGGUUGUAAAGCACUUUCAGCAGUGAGGAAAGGGGUGUCGUUAAUAGCGCCAUCCUGUGACGUUAACUGCAGAAGAAGGACCGGCUAACUCCGUG